rnacentral:rRNA from 1 species
UACGAAGGGGGCUAGCGUUGCUCGGAAUCACUGGGCGUAAAGCGCGCGUAGGCGGAUUGUUAAGUCAGGGGUGAAAUCCUGGAGCUCAACUCCAGAACUGCCUUUGAUACUGGCGAUCUCGAGUCCGGGAGAGGUGAGUGGAACUGCGAGUGUAGAGGUGAAAUUCGUAGAUAUUCGCAAGAACACCAGUGGCGAAGGCGGCUCACUGGCCCGGUACUGACGCUGAGGUGCGAAAGCGUGGGGAGCGAACAGG